CUGGCCCAAUUGACUACUAAGCCACUAAGGCUCCCAACUCCCUUCCCCCUUCUUCCGUUCUUCUCGUUGCAGCUCACUCUCUCUCUCACUCUCUCUCUCUCUUCCAAGAACGCUCUGUAAAUCACCGAUUUUGCGAAAGUCAACCGUUGGAUCUUGGAUCCGACUGCAUUUUCACCGUAAAAGCAGCCCCGAUCUACAAGUGGGUGACCUUGAUAAUCCCCAGCUGAGAGGCAUUUGAGGGAAUUCCAAAUCUUUGUAACACUGUGAGUGGGUAAAUUGUAUUAUGGUGGUAAUUGUUGCAUUUAUAUUUCUUGUCAUUCUGGUAUUCUAUAUAUAUUAUUCAUGAUUUCAUUCUUUAAUUGCAUAUGAGAAAUUGGAAUUCAUAUUGUCUUAUUUGCGCAUAUUGACCCUUGUGGUUGAUUGCAUUUAUGUUUAUGUGCACUGGGUUCACCUUUUUCUUUUCCCCCUUUUUUUUUUGUUGCAUGCAAAGUUGUUUUGACUAAACUGCACAUGGUCAAAUAUACCCUUAAGAUGGGUUUCAAUUUAGAGAUAUAUAACACUUGAAAUUAACUUCAUGACUUCAAAGAUCUCAUUAGCUCAAAUAUAUGACGGCGAAUUCAUAUCUAAGUGGACAUAAAUACAUUCAAGCAUAUAUAUCAACUGUGACAACACACAUUUGGAUAUAUGUAUGCAUAUGUAUACAUAUAGAGAGGGGAGAAGGGGGGGAGGAAGGCAGGAGAGAGACUUUGUAUAUGUAUAGUUUCUAAUCCUUACACCAUAAUAACAAUUGCAAGCCUUUAAUCCUACUAGGUGGGAUUAAAGGCAUGGUCAUCUAGUUAAAUGAAUUCUAACUCUCCAACCAUCUCUACUCAUGGUCAUCCAGUUUCUGAUCUGAUCCUUAAAGAAGUAAUUACCCUAGAAAAGGUUUUCUUGAAAUAUGAUUAUAUAAACUGAAAGUGCUGUAUUUAAGCAUCAGUUGUCAAAAAAGAAAGAAAGAAA